CAGCCGUAAACAAUGUGCGUUAGGUGUGUCGGUAACCACGCGUUACUGAUGCGCCGAAGAGAAAUCGUGAAACGCACCACCUGGGAAGUACGGUCGCAAGGCUGAAACUUAAAGGAAUUGGCGGGGGAGCGCUACAACGGGUGGAGCCUGCGGUUUAAUUGGACUCAACGCCGGAAAACUCACCGGGGGCGACAGCAAUAUGUAGGUCAAGCUAAAGACUUUACCAGAAUCGCUGAGAGGAGGUGCAUGGCGUAGUCGUGU
rnacentral:rRNA from 1 species